rnacentral:rRNA from 1 species
UUAAGCGACUAAGCGUACACGGUGGAUGCCCUGGCAGUCAGAGGCGAUGAAGGACGUGCUAAUCUGCGAUAAGCGCCGGUAAGGUGAUAUGAACCGUUAUAACCGGCGAUUUCCGAAUGGGGAAACCCAGUGUGAUUCGUCACACUAUCAUUAACUGAAUCCAUAGGUUAAUGAGGCGAACCGGGGGAACUGAAACAUCUAAGUACCCCGAGGAAAAGAAAUCAACCGAGAUUCCCCCAGUAGCGGCGAGCGAACGGGGAGGAGCCCAGAGCCUGAAUCAGCAUGUGUGUUAGUGGAAGCGUCUGGAAAGGCGCGCGAUACAGGGUGACAGCCCCGUACACAAAAGCGCAUGUGCUGUGAGCUCGAUGAGUAGGGCGGGACACGUGGUAUCCUGUCUGAAUAUGGGGGGACCAUCCUCCAAGGCUAAAUACUCCUGACUGACCGAUAGUGAACCAGUACCGUGAGGGAAAGGCGAAAAGAACCCCGGCGAGGGGAGUGAAAAAGAACCUGAAACCGUGUACGUACAAGCAGUGGGAGCACAGGUUUACCUGUGUGACUGCGUACCUUUUGUAUAAUGGGUCAGCGACUUAUAUUCUGUAGCAAGGUUAACCGUAUAGGGGAGCCGUAGGGAAACCGAGUCUUAACCGGGCGUUAAGUUGCAGGGUAUAGACCCGAAACCCGGUGAUCUAGCCAUGGGCAGGUUGAAGGUUGGGUAACACUAACUGGAGGACCGAACCGACUAAUGUUGAAAAAUUAGCGGAUGACCUGUGGCUGGGGGUGAAAGGCCAAUCAAACCGGGAGAUAGCUGGUUCUCCCCGAAAGCUAUUUAGGUAGCGCCUCGUGAAUUCAUCUCCGGGGGUAGAGCACUGUUUCGGCUAGGGGGCCAUCCCGGCUUACCAACCCGAUGCAAACUGCGAAUACCGGAGAAUGUUAUCACGGGAGACACACGGCGGGUGCUAACGUCCGUCGUGAAGAGGGAAACAACCCAGACCGCCAGCUAAGGUCCCAAAGUCAUGGUUAAGUGGGAAACGAUGUGGGAAGGCCCAGACAGCCAGGAUGUUGGCUUAGAAGCAGCCAUCAUUUAAAGAAAGCGUAAUAGCUCACUGGUCGAGUCGGCCUGCGCGGAAGAUGUAACGGGGCUAAACCAUGCACCGAAGCUGCGGCAGCGACACUGUGUGUUGUUGGGUAGGGGAGCGUUCUGUAAGCCUGUGAAGGUGUGUCGUGAGGCAUGCUGGAGGUAUCAGAAGUGCGAAUGCUGACAUAAGUAACGAUAAAGCGGGUGAAAAGCCCGCUCGCCGGAAGACCAAGGGUUCCUGUCCAACGUUAAUCGGGGCAGGGUGAGUCGACCCCUAAGGCGAGGCCGAAAGGCGUAGUCGAUGGGAAACGGGUUAAUAUUCCCGUACUUGGUGUUACUGCGAAGGGGGGACGGAGAAGGCUAUGUUGGCCGGGCGACGGUUGUCCCGGUUUAAGCGUGUAGGUGUGUGUUCCAGGUAAAUCCGGUUCACUUUAACACUGAGGCGUGACGACGAGGCACUACGGUGCUGAAGCAACAAAUGCCCUGCUUCCAGGAAAAGCCUCUAAGCAUCAGGUAACAUCAAAUCGUACCCCAAACCGACACAGGUGGUCAGGUAGAGAAUACCAAGGCGCUUGAGAGAACUCGGGUGAAGGAACUAGGCAAAAUGGUGCCGUAACUUCGGGAGAAGGCACGCUGACACGUAGGUGAAGUGAUUUACUCAUGGAGCUGAAGUCAGUCGAAGAUACCAGCUGGCUGCAACUGUUUAUUAAAAACACAGCACUGUGCAAACACGAAAGUGGACGUAUACGGUGUGACGCCUGCCCGGUGCCGGAAGGUUAAUUGAUGGGGUCAGCGCAAGCGAAGCUCCUGAUCGAAGCCCCGGUAAACGGCGGCCGUAACUAUAACGGUCCUAAGGUAGCGAAAUUCCUUGUCGGGUAAGUUCCGACCUGCACGAAUGGCGUAAUGAUGGCCAGGCUGUCUCCACCCGAGACUCAGUGAAAUUGAACUCGCUGUGAAGAUGCAGUGUACCCGCGGCAAGACGGAAAGACCCCGUGAACCUUUACUAUAGCUUGACACUGAACAUUGAGCCUUGAUGUGUAGGAUAGGUGGGAGGCUUUGAAGCGUGGACGCCAGUCUGCGUGGAGCCGACCUUGAAAUACCACCCUUUAAUGUUUGAUGUUCUAACGUGGACCCGUAAUCCGGGUUGCGGACAGUGUCUGGUGGGUAGUUUGACUGGGGCGGUCUCCUCCUAAAGAGUAACGGAGGAGCACGAAGGUUGGCUAAUCCUGGUCGGACAUCAGGAGGUUAGUGCAAUGGCAUAAGCCAGCUUGACUGCGAGCGUGACGGCGCGAGCAGGUGCGAAAGCAGGUCAUAGUGAUCCGGUGGUUCUGAAUGGAAGGGCCAUCGCUCAACGGAUAAAAGGUACUCCGGGGAUAACAGGCUGAUACCGCCCAAGAGUUCAUAUCGACGGCGGUGUUUGGCACCUCGAUGUCGGCUCAUCACAUCCUGGGGCUGAAGUAGGUCCCAAGGGUAUGGCUGUUCGCCAUUUAAAGUGGUACGCGAGCUGGGUUUAGAACGUCGUGAGACAGUUCGGUCCCUAUCUGCCGUGGGCGCUGGAGAACUGAGGGGGGCUGCUCCUAGUACGAGAGGACCGGAGUGGACGCAUCACUGGUGUUCGGGUUGUCAUGCCAAUGGCACUGCCCGGUAGCUAAAUGCGGAAGAGAUAAGUGCUGAAAGCAUCUAAGCACGAAACUUGCCCCGAGAUGAGUUCUCCCUGAGACUUAGAGUCUCCUGAAGGAACGUUGAAGACGACGACGUUGAUAGGCCGGGUGUGUAAGCGCAGCGAUGCGUUGAGCUAACCGGUACUAAUGAACCGUGAGGCUUAACCUU